GUAACGAGGGGAGCAUAUAGAUAAUCUCUAAUAUACUCAUGUCCUUGGGGCCAGUCUGUGGUACCUAAUUUCAAGUUGUCUAAACUUUAGCUCCUUCUUAUCUCUAAGCUUCAGGAUGUCCUGCAAACACAGCCAAUCUGCCUCGGCUGUCACAGCAGGGGGCUAAAGGGCAGGGCCCAUGAUUCAGAAGGAAUUCAGCAGAGACAAGAGUGGGCGGAUGUGGUGGCCGCUGAAUGGCAGGAGAUAAUGGGUCCAAGGAUGCAGCGUUGGUUGAGCUAUCAGUGACUGAGGAAUGAUUAAUGAAACAUGUAAACAUUCCCCAGAGAAUUCCCAGAAAUACACAGAGAGCAGGACUUGGUAACAGACUUUCCUCUCUGAAGACAAGUAAACUGCAUAUUAAAGCGGACUGUGACCUCAUAGACUGAUGAAAUUUGAAACACUUAAGCUACAUAUGCUGCUUCUGGGUUAUGUGUUCUGUGUCAUAUCUUAGCUUCCUUUUUCAGACAAUACAUCUUUGAUGAUCGAAAACAACAACAACCUGAUAAAGUUCCUUGUAGUUCUAAGAGCCCAAUAGUCCAGAAUACAAGUCUCUAUUAUGUUCUUCUCUGGAUAAAAGAACUUGUGGACUUUAUAACAUAAUCCAAGAAUGAAGAAAAAAAAAAAACCAUAACCUACCUUUAGGAACAAAAAAGGGCACAUAGCAGGAAGCUGAAAUACAGAACGUCUUCUGAGAACACAGAGAACAUUUAGCAAAAAGUGGAAAAUCUGACAACACUGUACAGUCGCAGUCUUCCUCUCCAUAACAAUAAUUUUUUCUCCUCUCACUAAAAUAGAGCGAUUUUUAUUGUCACAAGCACAUGUGUAUUACUGGCAAUAAGGAUAUAGCUGUAUAGGACACCUCCUUAAACAUCUUCUUUAUUUUAAGAUUCAGUUAGGGGGAAAUGACUAGUUUCCCAGCACUUUCUGGUUGCCAAGGAUACCUGUCAUCCACAUCCAGAGCCUGCAGGUUACACUCAGGGACUCUUGCCAGCUCAUGAAUAAUAUCGCUGAAGCCCGCUGCCGCUGCGAUAUGUACACAUGUCUUCCCACUCUCAUCAUCAUAGUUGAUUAUGGACGGCCCCUGGUGAUGGCUCAGAAUGAUGGAGCACAGAAUCCUAUUUCCACUCUGGAAAAGAGAGUCAAAGAAAGCCCAUUAUAUACAAUCCAGUGUUCUUCCCUGUCUAGGCAUGUUAAGAUAAAAAUACAAAGGAAAAAAGGGAAAGAAAGAAAGAAAGAAAAAAGAUGAAAAGAGAAAAGGAAAUGGAAAAAAAAGAGUAAAAAUACAUUCUAUCUAAGCUCUCCAACAAGUGUCCACUUGUCUCAAGUCACUGCAGAGAUUUUUGUCUCCCACAGGAGCUAAAUUGUCUUCCAUAACUAGUGAACGAAAGAUGGAUUGAAAUUAAAUACAGGUGCAAUGGACUGACGUCAGAGCUAGAGUGAUGGAUAGGCCACCUAGACAACAACUUGCUCAUUAGGUCUGAUCAUUUGUGUCCCCAUUUGCUGUAGAGGCUGACCACCAAGAAACUGACAGAGCUCAUCUUAAUGUUAAAGAAGUGACUAUGAUGAGUACUGAUUAGUGGCGCAAUGAUGCAUUUAAAAAGCUUGUUUCUGGGUAGGGCCAAGGAGCAGGGGGCUGAGAAUUUGUGCCAGGGAGCCUGGGAAGCAGAACUGUCUGAGCAGAGGCUACAAUCUUGUAUCAGACUUCGUUUACAAAAACAAUUAAAAGAUAAAGUGAGAAUUUGCAGAUGGGGACUACAGAACAUUAUGCCUUAAGCACAGGGUCCCAUCUGAGUACCAGACCCUCUAUGGCUGCACUGGUUACAUAUCCAUAAAGCAAUCUCUGGCUACAAACUUUUUCUUUCUCUUCCUAUCAUCUUCCCUUUUGCGUCUUCUUCCUCCAUCCAUCUUUCCUUUGUCUAACAAUGAUUUUAAAUAACUUUGACCCAUUGUUUAUAUUCUAUGGCAUGCCUGUCCUUAGAAGUCAGCUAAAGCUUACUUAGGUGACUUAGAAGUCACCUAAAGCUUAGGUGAGCACACCUAAGCUUUCAUGCCUUUAUCAACUUUUCUAUGUUUGUUUCACUUCAUGCUAGUUAGACAUACAUCGAAGGAGUCUGAAAUACAUUUUAGAUAGUCAAGAGACACUUUUCUUUAAAAGCAGUAGCCAUUCAAUAAGGAAAAUAGAAGCAAAAAGAGUGUCAGCACAACAAUUCUUUUUUGUUUACAAUUUCCUGGAAAAGUAAAGGAAUUCAAGCUGUCAAGGUGGUUCAAAGGCCAAAACACCCUGUUCAUAGUUUCCCCUCUUGGUAGAAGAAGAAGCAUUAAGUGCAGAUGGAGAAAACAAAACCCCACACUCGUACUCUCUUCCUUUCGCCUCCCUCGCCCCUGGGGUGGAGUCAUUCUGGAAGUGGUAAACUGAAAUAGAGGCUGCUGCUUCUGGGAUCCUGUCAGCCAGUCCCAGGCAGCAGGUCUCUUGGCAGCUGGGGUACUGUCGACAGCCUCUCUGGAUAAGUAAAGACAGACUCCACACCUUUACUCUUUUCCUUUUGUCCUAAAUUCUCCAAACAAUUCCUUUGUCUCUAUACCUGAAUCUCACUUAUAGCACCAUCGUUUGUAUUUUACUUUUCUUUAUAAGAAGAUCCUCCCAGGAAGAAUGGUGACAACUGUGUUUACUGUGUGAUCGUCUGGGCCUGGCACCUUUCUAAGCCAUUUCAUGUACUAACUCAUGAACAACAAUCCCACAAGGAUUUCUUUUCAACAAGUGGUGGAGCUGAAUGAAGAGCUGAAACCUCCAUCUUUAAAGUUUGAUCUACUCAGAAAAUUGUUAACACUGCUUUCCACCAUUUAAACCUGAGACCAGGCCACAGGUCAAUUUCUCACCUGGACUGCCCAGUGGAGAGCGGUUUUAAAGUCUUUAUCCACAAGGGAGGGGUCUGCCCCCUUCUUCAGCAGCAUUUGUGUGUGUUGAGGCUGGUUGUGGAAAGCCGCCCAGUGGAGUGGUGUCAUUCCCUGCAAAACAACAGUCAGAGAGGACAGAGAUGAGCACAGGCUCCCAGGAAGAAAACUGGAGCUCACACUUUCUCCUCAGGCCUGGGGGCCAUCACCAGAUGCGUUGGUUGUUUCCUGCUGGUUCAUUCAUUCAUUCAUUAGUCCAUUCAUUCCACAGAUGUUUAUUGUGUGUCUGCUUUGUGCCAGGCAAGCAGUUGUUCAGGAUACAAAAGUUAAUAAGGUAAAUGAGAUCCUUACCCUCAUGGAAAUUGCUCUGUGGUAAAGGAAGGCAGCUAUUAAAUGCACAAAAACAUGU